UAAAGAAAGCGUAAUAGCUCACUGGUCGAGUCGGCCUGCGCGGAAGAUGUAACGGGGCUAAACCAUGCACCGAAGCUGCGGCAGCGACACUCUGUGUUGUUGGGUAGGGGAGCGUUCUGUAAGCCUGCGAAGGUGUGCUGUGAGGCAUGCUGGAGGUAUCAGAAGUGCGAAUGCUGACAUAAGUAACGAUAAAGCGGGUGAAAAGCCCGCUCGCCGGAAGAC
rnacentral:rRNA from 1 species